rnacentral:sRNA from 1 species
AAUGAAUGAGGAAACCCAGGCAGAAGUUAAGUAACUUGUCCCAAAUGAUAUAAUUAGUGAGUGGUAGAGCCAGGGUUUAAACCUAAUCGAACAGCCUGAUUUGUUAUUCUGAAAUCUUAGCCAUUCUGCCCUGGAAAAAGUCAGAGGCAGAUGAGAUGGGAAGAAGCAUAGUCAGGAUGUGAUGGAGGCAGGGAGACCAUGGGCAACUUUCAGGUGUGCUGUUCUGCUGACUAGAAGAUCAUGUUACUUCCAAAUUUGUUUCUGGUAUUUUACAUUUGUGGUAUAUUUCUUUUCUUAAUGGUUGUGGUGCGUCUCAUUUAAGCCGCUGUUAUUAAUUCACAGAAAAAAAGUCCAGAAUGUUGACCUAAUUUUACAAAACAAGCUGCAUAUCAGCUGAUGAAUGCAUGAGAAAUUUUCAAGGCUUUCACAGUGGUCUUAAGGUAUGGGUGAGAGUAACUGUUCUUGGAAUAGAAAAGCCCUGCUGCAUCGAGACACAAUGCUGGCAGCUGCGGCGGUGUACAGAGAAAUGUACAGAAAUGAAGAUGGUUCAGUACCUGCCACAUAUCAGAUCUAUUACAUGAUAGGAUGGAAAUAUCAUGAGUCACAGGCAAGACCAGCUGAAAGAGGCUCCGCAACUGUGUCAUUUGGAGAGCUAGGAAAAAUAAACAACCUUAUGCCACAGGGGAAUAAAUCACAAUAAAUAUUUAUUCAAUGUUAA